rnacentral:misc_RNA from 1 species
AAAGGUGCAUGAGUGGUUUUUGGUUUGUUAUGGGUGGUCGGCUCUUUGCUUGCGCAACAACUUCCACCUGACAUUCCUCUUCAUUUUUGUUUCAAUGCUUGGAUUGCAUUGAACACACGCUGGGUUUCUUGUGUUGCAUGCCUAAUUGAUGGUAUCGAAUUGACGAAUUGACAAAUAUUUUCGUCUUUUGUUGCACCUGCAAUGUGAGAUGAACCUUAAAGCGACCUUGGCGCCCCACUGUUUUGAUGCUCUCGCAUUGAUUUUGUGGCUCGUUGAGUGUUUGCUUGGUCCCAUGGAUAUGGAACUUUGUGUGGGCGUGUGAUCUUUUAAUAGAUCAUUGUUUGCCCAAGCUGGAAGCUUUUUCAAAUACGAUUUCCUAUCAUGUUCUAACGGGUAGGCUAUAUCGAACAUGAAUGCCCACCUGGUGGAUCCUGCCAAAAAUCAUAU